CCUACGGGUGGCUGCAGUGGGGAAUAUUGGGCAAUGGAGGCAACUCUUACCCAGCAAUGCCGCGUGAAUGAAGAAGGUCUUCGGAUUGUAAAGUUCUUUAAUUGGGGACGAAAAAAAUGACGGUACCCAAGGAAUAAGCCCCGGCUAACUACGUGCCAGCAGCCGCGGUAAUACGUAGGGGGCAAGCGUUGUUCGGAAUGACUGGGCGUAAAGGGUGUGUAGGCGGUGUAGCAAGUCUGAAGUGAAAGCCCGCGGCUUAACCGCGGAACUGCUUUGGAAACUUUUUUGCUGGAGUACCGGAGAGGUAAGCGGAAUUCCUAGUGUAGCGGUGAAAUGCGUAGAUAUUAGGAGGAACACCAGUGGCGAAGGCGGCUUACUGGACGGUAACUGACGUUGAGGCUCGAAAGCGUGGGGAGCAAACAGGAUUAGAUACCCUGGUAAUC
rnacentral:rRNA from 1 species